rnacentral:rRNA from 1 species
UACGGAGGGAGCUAGCGUUGUUCGGAAUUACUGGGCGUAAAGCGCGCGUAGGCGGCUUUGUAAGUUAGAGGUGAAAGCCCGGGGCUCAACUCCGGAACUGCCUUUAAGACUGCAUCGCUUGAAUCCGGGAGAGGUGAGUGGAAUUCCGAGUGUAGAGGUGAAAUUCGUAGGUAUUCGGAAGAACACCAGUGGCGAGGGCGGCUCACUGGACCGGUAUUGACGCUGAGGUGCGAAAGCGUGGGGAGCAAACAGG